CGGAAAUCACAUUAUUAACAACAAAUCUUUUCAAAUACACACAAACUACGACUACCAAUUUCUAGUGCUAAGCAUAUCAGGAACAAAAUAAAGCAUAACAAUCAGAGUACUCCAAGUUCUAAUACACAAAAUACUGAAAUUUAAGCAAAUAUAAGUAAAGAAUCUUCAAGCAGAAACCCCUAAAUCUGACCAAGAUAUACAAAAUAUAUUCAUAUACAUGUGUAAUAACAACAAUAAU
rnacentral:lncRNA from 1 species